rnacentral:rRNA from 1 species
AGUGAACGCUGGCGGUAGGCCUAACACAUGCAAGUCGAACGGCAGCACAGUAAGAGCUUGCCCUUACGGGUGGCGAGUGGCGGACGGGUGGGGAAUACAUCGGAAUCUACUUUUUCGUGGGGGAUAACGUAGGGAAACUUACGCUAAUACCGCAUACGACCUACGGGUGAAAGCAGGGGAUCUUCGGACCUUGCGCGAUUGAAUGAGCCGAUGUCGGAUUAGCUAGUUGGCGGGGUAAAGGCCCACCAAGGCGACGAUCCGUAGCUGGUCUGAGAGGAUGAUCAGCCACACUGGAACUGAGACACGGUCCAGACUCCUACGGGAGGCAGCAGUGGGGAAUAUUGGACAAUGGGCGCAAGCCUGAUCCAGCCAUACCGCGUGGGUGAAGAAGGCCUUCGGGUUGUAAAGCCCUUUUGUUGGGAAAGAAAAGCAGCAGGUUAAUACCCCGCUGUUCUGACGGUACCCAAAGAAUAAGCACCGGCUAACUUCGUG